UACGUAGGGUCCGAGCGUUGUCCGGAAUUAUUGGGCGUAAAGAGCUCGUAGGCGGUCUGUCACGUCGGCUGUGAAAACACGGGGCUCAACUCCGUGCCUGCAGUCGAUACGGGCAGACUAGAGUUCGGUAGGGGAGACUGGAAUUCCUGGUGUAGCGGUGAAAUGCGCAGAUAUCAGGAGGAACACCAAUGGCGAAGGCAGCUCGCUGGGACGGUACUGACGCUGAGACGCGAAAGCGUGGGGAGCAAACAGG
rnacentral:rRNA from 1 species